rnacentral:rRNA from 1 species
AACGAACGCUGGCGGCAGGCCUAACACAUGCAAGUCGAGCGGACCUUUCGGGGUCAGCGGCGGACGGGUGAGUAACGCGUGGGAAUAUGCCCUUCUCUACGGAAUAGUCCUGGGAAACUGGGGGUAAUACCGUAUACGCCCUUUGGGGGAAAGAUUUAUCGGGGAAGGAUUAGCCCGCGUUGGAUUAGGUAGUUGGUGGUGUAAUGGCCUACCAAGCCGACGAUCCAUAGCUGGUUUGAGAGGAUGAUCAGCCACACUGGGACUGAGACACGGCCCAGACUCCUACGGGAGGCAGCAGUGGGGAAUCUUAGACAAUGGGGGCAACCCUGAUAGAGCCAUGCCGCGUGAGUGAUGAAGGGCUUAGGGUUGUAAAGCUCUUUCAGCUGGGAAGAUAAUGACGGUAACAGCAGAAGAAGCCCCGGCUAACUCCGUG